rnacentral:rRNA from 1 species
CCUACGUGAGGCAGCAGUGAGGAAUAUUGGUCAAUGGACGCAAGUCUGAACCAGCCAUGUCGCGUGCAGGAAGACGGCUCUAUGAGUUGUAAACUGCUUUUGUACGGGGGUAAACGCAGAUACGCGUAUCUGUCUGAAAGUAUCGUACGAAUAAGGAUCGGCUAAGUCAGUGCCAGCAGCCGCGGUAAUACGGAGGAUUCAAGCGUUAUCCGGAUUUAUUGGGUUUAAAGGGUGCGUAGGCGGUCGGAUAAGUUAGAGGUGAAAUCCCGAGGCUCAACUUCGGAAUUGCCGCUGAUACUGUUCGGCUAGAGAGUAGUUGCGGUAGGCGGAAUGUAUGGUGUAGCGGUGAAAUGCUUAGAGAUCAUGCAGAACACCGAUUGCGAAGGCAGCUUACCAAGGUACUUCUGACGUUGAGGCACGAAAGCGUGGGGAGCAAACAGGAUUAGAUACCCUGGUAGUC